AUAAAAUUGAGAAUGGAAAUGGGGAAUGUGUCAAAGAGACAACAACUCGACCAAAUAAAAAACAACAGCAGAGGGUCACCAACAGGUCUUCAAUGUAGCGAGAAAUUCCCGCACCCGGAGGCGUCCUUCAGCUGGCCCCUAAACAAAUAUAUACUAGUCCAGUGAUAAUGAACGCCAUACUAAUUUCCAAAUUGUACACAAGAAACUAAAAUUAAAAUAAUACAAGACUAACAAAGGCCAGAGGCUCCUGACUUGGGACAGGCGCAAAAAUGCGGCGGGGUUAAACAUGUUUGUGAGAUCUCAACCCUCCCCCUAUACCUCUAACCAAUGUAGUAAAGUAAACGCAUAACAAUAC
rnacentral:lncRNA from 1 species